UUCCCAUCAAUAGCGUCACCACUCGUAGUGAGGCCACAUGGUAAAUUACGAUUUUCGCAAGUGUACAUAUGCAUAAUUAGUCGAUGCCGUGUCAAGCACUGAAAAAUCUUGUCUCCUGAUUCGGCUAAUUGAGUGAUAAUCCAAGAUUGAUUCACAGUUGAGGACAUAUUUCUCUAUACAGGGAAUAUAGAAAAGGGUCAAAGUAAAGAUAUAACAUCAAAAGAGAAGAAAGAAAUAGCGAAACUACUGGGAGAAGGGGAUACAACAAUUGUAAUUUCUAAAAAGCUAAAUAGAGAUCACAGAACAACAAAAACAACAGGUAUAAAACAUUGAGAGAGUAAGAGUAAGGAAGAAAACAAGUUUCAAGAACACCACAGAUAGAGAUAAGAGAAAACUCAACAGAAUUAUGUGCACAGAAAGUGAGUUAGCCAGCAAACAAAUCUUCAGAGAAGCAGGAAUCUCUAACAUACAAAGGAGAAAGCGUAACACAAUGCUAAAAGAAAUAGGCAAAGUCAUAAAUUUCACAAAAUUGCUUCCUUUAAAUAAAGUACAGAAAGAAAAAAAAAGUGAUUGGGGAUCUACAAUAGUAUUGUAAGGGCCCUUGAAAACA
rnacentral:misc_RNA from 1 species